CUACAUCCACCAGAGGGAGUCUCUCUCUGUUCACCUUCAGCAGGAUGUGAUGAUACAGUCUAGAUUAGAUUCUCUCAGACUCACAGCUGUGAUGAAGAGCUCCAGAAACUCAUUGGACAUCUGAGUCUCCUCCUGCUGACUGCAGAGCUUCAUGACUGACACCUCUCUGAUUCCAGCUGUGAACAUCAGACCAAACACAACUCACUAAACGUUUCCAUACUGAACAACCACAGCUUUCCCCUCUGUGAACAUGGAGAAACUGGCUGCAAUUCUGCUCUGUUCAGCUCUCAUAGGUAACAGCUUGGAAGAUGAUAUUACUGCCAUCAGUGCUGAAGUGUGUUCCUCAGAGGGCCGUAGUGUUACUCUGUCCUGUACAUAUUCAGUUAAAGCCAAUAACCUCCAGUGGUACAGACAGGAUCCUGGAUCAGCUCCUCAGUUCCUCCUCCUGAUCACUGACACAACACAGCCUUACGUGGUGGAAGCAAAACCUCCAAUCCCUCGACUGAAUGCCACACUGAACUUGGAGAGAAAUCAAGUGGAUCUGCAGAUCUCCUCUGCUGCAGUGACAGACUCUGCUGUGUACUACUGUGCUCUGCUCACAAAGCACUGA